CGUUGGUCCGAACUGUGCGGUUCACACUACAUGACUUGCUUCUGUGAAAUCAGGAGUGUUCACGUUGUUGAGCAGUUCACAACACACGACAUAACGUGAAUGCCCCACAACAGGAGGUAACGCACUACACGAGUUGAGAACAACUCUAUCACCCGACGAUUCUAUCUUGGCCGCAAACCACGUUUUGUCACGAAAAAUCGCGCGAUAAAACAAACCGGAAAUGACGCGAAACAACACGCGCACCAGUAAACCCACAGAAGAAGAAACAAGAAGACGCACAAAACUUUUGUUUGUAUAUAUAGACUUCAGACAGAAAUUAGUGCUGCAAACCGUUUGCGCGAUGCAAAGCCGCAAAAGAAAAAAAAUGAAGAGAUGUGUAUGUGGAGAGGUGGAUUAGCACUACACGCGGACAGCAGGGAUUUAAGAGUUGGAGGUAAGUACAGCUUGUUUAUAUAGGAAAUAUAGCUGCAUGCUUAUGUUUGGCUAUGAUCACAUUUAAAAUAUCAACGUGUUGUCUACUGUGUUUAAAAGCUGUGUUUCUUGAUUUAAUUAUUGUUCAAAUAGAAUAGGACAUUCUUCGCAAAGCAUGACUUGGAGAGCGUUUGUCUUUGACCCUGCGAUUCUAUGCAACAGGUGACACGUUCAAGUCCCUCAGGUUCAAGUCCAGGAUGGGGGACCAGCACCAUCCCACAAAUAGUUUUGGAUACCUGUUCUGUACCAGGUUAUAAAGGACGAUUUCUUGAAGACACCAUCAACGGAAGGAGAGUGGCAUACAAUAGCCAUGGACUGUGAAAGGAAGUGGCAGUUUCCACAUUUCUUUGGGGUACUUGCUACCACUCCAGCUGUAGUAGACUGCUGACCACAACAUGGUUGAUGGGCAAUGGAAGAAUCGUGGGAUGGGUGCUUUUCAACCGAUGAACACCACCUCACAUCGCAAUUGUAUGGCAACAGCAAAAGUGCAACGCACUCUGAUGCGGGACUACUUUGUCUCACCAGCGGGUAGUGUUUAUUGGAAAGUUCAACACAUUUUAAAAGGAACUGAUGUAGAGUUAUCCCUGCAAACAGUAGAUUA